rnacentral:lncRNA from 1 species
GAAAAAGGAGUAAAUUAAUGUUGGAGUUGUAAAUUACAAGAAGAACUUGUAAACAAAACAAAAACUUAGAAAAAUGACAUAGAACUUGUAAAUUGACAUUAAGUGUGAAAUGAAACAAAAAAAAGUGUAAAUCACACAUAAUACUAGUAAAUUGAUGGGGAAAUGGGUAAAUUAAUGUUGGAGUUGUAAAUUGCAAGAAGAACUUGUAAACAAAACAAAAACUUAGAAAAAUGACAUAGAACUUGUAAAUUGACAUUAAGUGUGAAAUGAAACAAAAAAA